CGUCCUUACAGUUUAGCCUGAACACACAAAAAAAAAAAAAAAAAAAUAGUAUGAGCAACUAAAUUCAAAAUUCCAAGCCAAGGAAUAACUUCAACGCGUUUCAUCAGCAGUAAAAAAAUUCAGCGGGACGUACCCAGCUAAAGGAUAAAAAGAGUUUUUCCCCUUUCUGUGCCGUUUGAAUAUUACAUUUUCAAAAUGGUUUUAAUGCUGGUCUGCAGUUUCGACCCUUUCUACAUUGGACCCUGCCCGCCCGGCUGCCUGGUCCCCUUGGAUGGCGGAAGUCCUUGCUGUAGUCCGUGUAGGAGCUGCUCGAGUACGUGUCAACGCUGAGAUGUAAAGCGAAAAGAUCCCUAGAUCAUUGCUUAAUAUUAAACUCGUAUCAAGGAAUGCUGGAGAAAUGUGUUGCUGUUAGAAGCCAUUAUCCUUGGCGGAGCAUUAACAACUAAGCUCU